rnacentral:rRNA from 1 species
AUUGAACGCUGGCGGCAGGCUUAACACAUGCAAGUCGAGCGAGCGGCGGACGGGUGAGUAAUGUCUGGGAAACUGCCUGAUGGAGGGGGAUAACUACUGGAAACGGUAGCUAAUACCGCAUACCAUCAGAUGUGCCCAGAUGGGAUUAGUUAGUGGGUGGGGUGAUGGCUCACCUAGGCGACGCUCCCUAGCUGGUCUGAGAGGAUGACCAGCAACACUGGAACUGAGACACGGUCCGUACUCCUACGGGAGGCGGCAGUGGGGAAAAUUGCACAAGGGGCGCAAGCCUGAUGCAGACAUGCCGCGUGUGGGAAGAAGGCUUUCGGGUUGUAAAGCACUUUCAGCGAGGAGGCGUUACUCGAAGAAGAAGCACCGGCUAACUCCGUGCCAGCAGCCGCGGUAAUUC